CGGUUCUCUUGUUGCACAGGAAGAAUUGGAUUCAGAAGGUAGAAAUAAGCCGGGAAGAAAAACAAAAAUGCAAACAGUUUACACUCAUUUCCCAGUGUUCUUUCUUUGGGUUGUAGCUGCUUCUGUCCAUCAUUGACCAACCGGAACCGAGUAAGCUCUUCUCUUUGUCGAAGACAUCCACUUCCAUUAGAAUCCAUCCUCGGACAGUAUCGUUGUUGAAGUGUGUAAUGAUCUCCUGCUUCUGCUCCUUUCACUCAGCAUCAGUUCAUUUCUUCUUUGGUCACCAAUUCCUUCCUCCUCCACAAGUCUGAGAGCAGGACCUGGUGCCAUGGAUGCCCCAAGCCUACUUUGCUAUAAUAGUGUUUGCCUUUAAAGACAGUAACUGCUAUGGCAAGAUCCAAAAUGAAAAAGAUGAAUGAACAAUCCACAAAGAUGAAAGCAAAGCCAUUGCUGUGGGUUUGAUUUGAUAUUGAAGAAGAAGGAAGAUCUCCACAAAAAGAAUGCAUAUUAACAAAAAUAUAAAUUGCCCCACAAACACACACACACACACACACACACACACACAC